rnacentral:rRNA from 1 species
CCUACGGGAGGCAGCAGUGAGGAAUAUUGGUCAAUGGCCGGAAGGCUGAACCAGCCAAGCCGCGUGAAGGACGAAGGUGCCAAGCAUUGUAAACUUCUUUUGUCAAGGGACAAAAUCAGACUCGAGAGCCUGACCGAGGGUACUUGAAGAAAAAGCAUCGGCUAACUCCGGGCCAGCAGCCGCGGUAAUACGGAGGGUGCGAGCGUUAAUCGGAAUUACUGGGCGUAAAGCGCGCGUAGGCGGGAUGUCAAGUCAAAGGUGAAAUCCACCCGCUCAACGUGGGACAUGACUUUGAAACUGGCAGACUGGAGUGUGUGAGAGGAUAGGGGAAUUCCAGGGGUAGGAGUGAAAUCCGUAGAUAUCUGGAGGAACAUCAGUGGCGAAGGCGACUAUCUGGCACGUAACUGACGCUGAGGAGCGAAAGCGUGGGUAGCAAACAGGAUUAGAUACCCCUGUAGUC